AUUGAACGCUGGCGGCAGGCCUAACACAUGCAAGUCGAACGAGUGGCGGACGGGUGAGUAAUGUCUGGGAAACUGCCCCAUGGAGGGGGAUAUCUCCUGGAAACGGUAGAUAAUACACCAUACCACCACAUGUGCCCAGAUGGGAUGAGCUAGUAGGUGGGGUAACGGCUCACCCAGGCGACGAUCCCCAGCUGGUCUGAGAGGAUGACCAGCCACACUGGAACUGAGACACGGUCCAGACUCCUACGGGAGGCAGCAGUGGGGAAUAGUGCACAAUGGGUGCAAGCCUGAUGCAGCCAUGCCGCGUGUGUGAAGAAGGCCUUCGGGUUGUAAAGUACUUUCAGCGGGGAGGCGUUACCCGCAGAAGAAGCACCGGCUAACUCCGUGCCAGCAGCCGCGGUAAUUC
rnacentral:rRNA from 1 species